AGUAGGAAUAGGGUUUCAAAAUUCUGAUUUUUGUCAUAGCGGCUCCUUGAGCGGUACACUUAGCUUGGCUUCACCCAUCCUAGACGAAGUCACAGGGAUGACAAAGAUGGACAAGAAUAGGAAAAAAUCUAGAGGACAUAGUUCUCGAGAGCCUACGGAUAUGCAGGACCAAGAGAUGGAUAUAAAGAAGAUUAUGAAAGAUGUUG